GAUGAGAACGUAGCGAAAUGCGAAAAGUAAUGUGAAUUGCAGAAUUCAGUGAAUCAUCGAAUCUUUGAACGCACAUUGCGCCCGCUGGUACUCCGGCGGGCACGCCUGUCCGAGCGUCAUUUCAACCCUCAAGCCCUCCUUCGGGAUGGGCCUGGUGUUGGGGCUCGGCCGCCAUCUCCGGCGGCCGUCCCCUAAAUACAGUGGCGGUCACGUCGCGACUCCUUUGCGUAGUAGAAACACCUCGCUCCGGAUAGCAAAGCGGUCCACGCCGUAAAACCACCAAUUUUCAAUGGUUGACCUCGGAUCAGGUGGGAAUACCCGCUGAACUUAAGCAUAUCAAUAAGCGGAGGA
rnacentral:misc_RNA from 1 species